AAGACUGUACUUGCAGAGAUCAGAUAUGGUCCAGGACUAGAGAAGUUUCUGGGACUGUGUAGAGUAUCCAAGACCACAAUGAUAAAAGGUAGCCUUUCCUCCUGACUGUGAACCUGCUUUUUGGCCUUGCUUUCCUACAGCUGCCUCUUGCCAUUGCUAAUUGUUCUUUUCUUCCUUUGGGAGAGGGAGAGACAGAGAGGUAAUUUGAGUGGA
ensembl:snoRNA U3 Small nucleolar RNA U3